rnacentral:tRNA from 1 species
GCGGCCCUGGUAUAUGGGUUGUGCCCCGGCUUCCCAAGCCGGCGAAACGGGUUCGAGUCCCGUGGGCCGCUCCA